GUUGGUUUAUCUUGCAGAACUGUGCCAUAACUCCCCUAGAAGAGCCUGUGACUUGAGCAGAAGAUUCCUGACAUGUCAAAAUCAACUGUCACAUUGAGAGAGUGUAGCAGUAGUGGGAAGAGUGAUGAAGGACAUACUGUAUCCCUCAGUGUUUCAUGGAGUUGGUGGAUACUGUCCAAGUCCACUCGCAAGUGUGAGAGAGGACAAGCUUUAGGAAGACCUGGUGCAGUGAGUGCUAGCUGACCCCUGAGCAGUGUGACAGAUAGCGAUGAUCUUAGUCACUGCAAUAUUUUUUUGAAGGACAAGGUUCAGACUGUGGUCUCUACAUGAUGCAGUAAUUCGCAUCAGAAUGUCAGAACGCUGUCUCAAAUCAUGGAAGUUCUAUGCCAGAGACUGGAGUUUUGUGACUAAAUUUCCAUAUUUUCCAUCUUCAGAAGUUUUUUUUGACCUCCAGGAACUGGAGAGUUGUGUUGAAGAAGAUCUGUGAACAGAAACAUUCAAGCAAGGAACACAGUCGCUCCAGUUAAUAAAAAAGCUUUCAACACAGUAUCCUAUUACUCUACGUUGAGCCAACUGAUAGUACUACUGCUUGUUAAAUCAAGGCUGAAUAUAUAGUUUUUCAGGCACUUUCCUGCCCUGCUGCUGCGCUGGUAUGCUCGUUCCUGUUUAUGUCUCUCAGAUGCUAUCUCAGGAAGGUCAAAUACUUGCAAUAUAAAAAGAUUUAACAUGUUUCUCUGGUCUCCUGGGAUGCAAUAAAGCAAUGACCUUCUAUCAAAAUAUCUGGAGUAGUUUAUGGCCUAGAGUUGUAUCAACUUACAUGCUUUUUUUGUAGAAAAUACAGAAAUACUUGCAAGGUAUGGCAUCUUAAAUACAAACUGAUUAUAAUUGGGUAGCGUUUGGUGCAUUAGUCUGUGUCCUGGAGAAGUUGAGUGCCAAAUGCAGCCCAUCAGCAGUAGGAUGAGUUGCAAAUAUGCAGGGAUAGCAGCAUUGCAGGCUUUCUCAAGGCAAAUUCCAAGUCUAAGGGGAUAUUUUCAACCUUGUACCUAUUGCCAUUGGGUAACUUUGCUAAAUAAAUGCAAAGAAAUCUGCAUCCAUUAGGUGUCCUCACAGCUAGUGUGUCAAAAUCCUGUGACUUGCAUCCUAGGCUAACAUCUUAGACAUGAUUAUGUGAUGUUUUGUUCCUUUAAGCACUUUUAAAAGAGGUUUAGAUGAAAUACAACAAGUAGCAGUUCCCUGUAAUUAAAUUGUUGAUCAUCUUGGCUCACGGAAGAAAUGUGAAGCAACAUCCACUCCGAAAAUAGAUGUGUUAAUUACAAAUGCACAUAUUCUAGGUU
rnacentral:lncRNA from 1 species